rnacentral:rRNA from 1 species
AUUGAACGCUGGCGGCAUGCUUUACACAUGCAAGUCGAACGGCAGCGCGGGGCAACCUGGCGGCGAGUGGCGAACGGGUGAGUAAUAUAUCGGAACGUACCCAAGAGUGGGGGAUAACGUAGCGAAAGUUACGCUAAUACCGCAUACGAUCUAUGGAUGAAAGCAGGGGACCGCAAGGCCUUGUGCUCCUGGAGCGGCCGAUAUCUGAUUAGCUAGUUGGUGAGGUAAAGGCUCACCAAGGCGACGAUCAGUAGCUGGUCUGAGAGGACGACCAGCCACACUGGAACUGAGACACGGUCCAGACUCCUACGGGAGGCAGCAGUGGGGAAUUUUGGACAAUGGGCGCAAGCCUGAUCCAGCAAUGCCGCGUGAGUGAAGAAGGCCUUCGGGUUGUAAAGCUCUUUUGUCAGGGAAGAAACGGUGGAGGCUAAUAUCCUUCGCUAAUGACGGUACCUGAAGAAUAAGCACCGGCUAACUACGUGCCAGCAGCCGCGGUAAUACGUAGGGUGCAAGCGUUAAUCGGAAUUACUGGGCGUAAAGCGUGCGCAGGCGGUUUUGUAAGUCUGUCGUGAAAGCCCCGGGCUCAACCUGGGAAUUGCGAUGGAGACUGCAAGGCUUGAAUCUGGCAGAGGGGGGUAGAAUUCCACGUGUAGCAGUGAAAUGCGUAGAGAUGUGGAGGAACACCGAUGGCGAAGGCAGCCCCCUGGGUCAAGAUUGACGCUCAUGCACGAAAGCGUGGGGAGCAAACAGGAUUAGAUACCCUGGUAGUCCACGCCCUAAACGAUGUCUACUAGUUGUCGGGUUUUAAUUAACUUGGUAACGCAGCUAACGCGUGAAGUAGACCGCCUGGGGAGUACGGUCGCAAGAUUAAAACUCAAAGGAAUUGACGGGGACCCGCACAAGCGGUGGAUGAUGUGGAUUAAUUCGAUGCAACGCGAAAAACCUUACCUACCCUUGACAUGUACGGAAGCCACGAGAGAUCGAGGUGUGCUCGAAAGAGAGCCGUAACACAGGUGCUGCGUGGCUGUCGUCAGCUCGUGUCGUGAGAUGUUGGGUUAAGUCCCGCAACGAGCGCAACCCUUGUCAUUAGUUGCUACGAAAGAGCACUCUAAUGAGACUGCCGGUGACAAACCGGAGGAAGGUGGGGAUGACGUCAAGUCCUCAUGGCCCUUAUGGGUAGGGCUUCACACGUCAUACAAUGGUACAUACAGAGGGCCGCCAACCCGCGAGGGGGAGCUAAUCCCAGAAAGUGUAUCGUAGUCCGGAUUGUAGUCUGCAACUCGACUACAUGAAGUUGGAAUCGCUAGUAAUCGCGGAUCAGCAUGUCGCGGUGAAUACGUUCCCGGGUCU